rnacentral:rRNA from 1 species
CCUGAGAAACCCGAAAGAUCGAAAGGGGAGAUUCAUCGUCAGCGACGUCGGCUUUUCGGUGGUUCCCGAUGCGCUGCGCCCAUCCCGGGCGUUUGCCGCACGGGUCCUCCGUGCAACCUCAUGUCCGGCGGCGUCGGCGUGCACUUCUCCCCUAGUAGGACGUCGCGACCCGUUGGGUGUCGGUCUACGGCUCGAGUCGUCGCCUGUCCCGUCGCUUCGGCGUCUCGGGACAGACGCUCGGUCGCCCGGCCGGCUGCCCGGCGGUACGCGCACGGUAUCUGGCCGCAAUUUCUUCUCGAACGCACUGCGUCUCAGGCCCGCCGCAAGCGCGGUCAGUGUAAACCCGGAGGUACGGGACCUGGUGCCGUCCCCGGGCCUGGCCCGCUGUUCGCCGGCGGUGUUCUCUGACAGGCCACGAGCGAUGAUACCGGUCGGCGACGCUAUUGCUUUGGGUACUUUCAGG